rnacentral:rRNA from 1 species
UACGUAGGGGGCAAGCGUUGUCCGGAAUCAUUGGGCGUAAAGAGCGUGUAGGCGGCCCGAUAAGUCCGCUGUGAAAGUCCAGGGCUCAACCCUGGGAUGCCGGUGGAUACUGUCGGGCUCGAGUCCGGAAGAGGAGUGUGGAAUUCCUGGUGUAGCGGUGGAAUGCGCAGAUAUCAGGAGGAACACCAAUAGCGAAGGCAGCUUACUAGGCUGUAACUGACGCUGAGGCACGAAAGUGUGGGGAUCAAACAGG